rnacentral:tRNA from 1 species
GCCCUCGUGGCGGAACUGGGAGACGCGCAGCGCUUAGGACGCUGUGGGGAGACCCGUGGAGGUUCGAAUCCUCCCGAGGGCACAA